UUAGAGUUUGGAUCCUGGCUCAGGACGAACGCUGGCGGCGUGCUUAACACAUGCAAGUCGAACGCUGAAGCCUGGUGCUUGCACCGGGUGGAUGAGUGGCGAACGGGUGAGUAAUACGUGAGUGACCUGCCUUUGACUCUGGGAUAAGCCUGGGAAACUGGGUCUAAUACCGGAUGCGACUACUGCCCGCAUGGGCUGGUGGUGGAAAGGGUUAUGUACUGGUCUUAGAUGGGCUCACGGCCUAUCAGCUGGUUGGUGGGGUAAUGGCCUACCAAGGCGACGACGGGUAGCCGGCCUGAGAGGGUGACCGGCCACACUGGGACUGAGACACGGCCCAGACUCCUACGGGAGGCAGCAGUGGGGAAUAUUGCACAAUGGGCGCAAGCCUGAUGCAGCGACGCCGCGUGAGGGAUGACGGCCUUCGGGUUGUAAACCUCUUUCAGCAGGGAAGAAGCGGAAGUGAC
rnacentral:rRNA from 1 species